CGAACGCGCCGCAGGCCAGCGCCACUGCCUCCCGCCUCCCGCCUCCCGCCUCCCGCCUCCCGCCUCCCGCCUCCCGCCUCCCGCCUCCCGCCUCCCGCCAGCCUCCCCGCUCCGCCAUGUUCGCGUUCUGGCCCACUCACAGGAGAGUCGCCUUUCAGGCGUGGCCGCAGUCACUCGCCCGCCGCCGAACCCCGCCAGGAGAGGAAAGGUGAAGGGAGGGAGGCCGUCGGCCUAGCCCGAUCGGGGCCUCGAGGCACAAUGGAGCAGCUGCUCCCCGUCGUGAGGUGCAGUCUCCUGGCCGCUGGGUUCGUUCCUCCUUGACAUCUCUGGAGUCGCAUCGAGGAGCUAUUGUUCUCUGGCGUCGGAGGUUGCGCUGUGUCCGCGGCGCUGAGGGCCCCUUGCUAACUGGAACACGGGGAAGGCGGCCCUGUGAGGUUUAGUGAACUCAAUCAAAGAGGUCCUGCAAGUGGAGUAGACUCCCUGAAGCAAGACUGCCAUCUGGACCGCCGAGUGAUGGCGGUGUUACCUGGAGAACGUGAAACAGUCUCUAAACACUUACUAGAAGAGCACAUAAUUCUUUUGAUUGGUCUGUCCUUAGCCGGCUUUAUCAAACCUGUUCAUCCCCAAAGGAGUGUCUUGUAGUAAGGUGAUUUAUUAGGAUAAGAUUAAAGUACAUUCCAGAUGGUCGUAGUAUAUUUCCAGUGAAUCAGAUCAGUCUGGAGAAAAUCUUUGCAACUUGUAUCACAAGAACUCUCAAAAACUGAAAACAAAAAGUGCAAAAGCCAAAGGAGAAAAUGGGGAAGGACAUGAACAGAUGAUUCUCGGAAAAAAUACCGUAAUGGUCUUUAAACAUAGAAAGUCGCUCCACCUCACUUACAAUGGAAAUACACGUUGAAAUUACCUUUCCUGGUGGGAGUGGAAAAAUGGUUCAAGUUCCGCGGAGUACAAAAUUACUUGUGUUUAUUCUUAUACCUUGCAGUUAUACUUCUAACCCUAACCUUAUUCUGAAGGUGCAGCUCCACACAUGGAAACAAUAGGUAUACAAGGUUAUUGCAGUGCUAUUUGUCAUAGCAAAAGUUAGGGAUAACCCAAAUAUCCGUUAAUAGGGAACUGAUUGGGAAUGGUGCAUCCAUACAGUAGAACACAAUGCAACCAUUAAAAAGAUUCAGAAAAUAA